rnacentral:rRNA from 1 species
GGAUUAGGCAUGCAAGUCGAACGAGGGAGUACUCCGAAAGGGGUACAAAUCGAGUGGCGUAAGGGUGAGUAAUGCAUUGAUAACCUACCUUUGAGAUGGGGAUAACAACGUCCCAAGCAAUUGGGGCUACCGAAAGGGUUGCUAAUACUCAAUAAAACUGUUGGUGCCUUGGUAUUGACAGUCAAAAAGGUGGAAUCGUGAGAUUUCAUUUGCUCAGAGAGGGGUCAAUGUCCUAUCAGCUAGUUGGCAGGGUAAUGGCCUACCAAGGCGAAGACGGGUAGCCGGCCUGAGAGGGUGGUCGGCCACACUGGGACUGAGCACUGCCAGCUCCUACGAGC